UAUCAGGGGCCAGGCAUGUUCUAAGUACUCUACAGAUAUUCCUUCACUUAUUUAAGAAACAACACUAGACUAGAAGCCAAAAAGACCAGGAUUCUACUCCAAAUCCUGGUACUGAUUAACUGCAAAACUUGGAGGAAGUCACUUCUACCAAUCUCAGUUUCCACAGAUAUACAUUGAAGAGCUACUAGCCAACAUGUUGCAUAAUCCUGUCUAUCUGAAGAGAACCGAUAAGGAUUACAACCUUUAGCUGGAAAACACCAUGACUAUGUUCCAACCUUUAGUACUAAAGAAUCUGCACAGCACAACAGCCUAGGAAAUUUAGCUAUUGGACAGCUUGAUUGCUCCCUCACACCCCGCUUAAUAGAGCUUCUCAUUAAGUCACAAAAAUGAGAUCAUUCAGCAAAAGUCCUUCAGUAUGGCCCGUCCACUCAUGCUAAAGUGGUGUUGAAACAGAAGUCCGUGGGUUUGAGAGCGAAUAAAAGAUCUCAGCAGGGCAUGGAAGGAUGUAGUCCUUGUAGGGUAAGUAGAUCUGGGGUAGCAUCAAAACAGGAGAGCAGUAGAAACACC